rnacentral:rRNA from 1 species
AGAGUUUGAUCAUGGCUCAGAUUGAACGCUGGCGGCAGGCCUAACACAUGCAAGUCGAGCGGUAGCACAGGAGAGCUUGCUCUCUGGGUGACGAGCGGCGGACGGGUGAGUAAUGUCUGGGAAACUGCCUGAUGGAGGGGGAUAACUACUGGAAACGGUAGCUAAUACCGCAUAAUGUCGCAAGACCAAAGAGGGGGACCUUCGGGCCUCUUGCCAUCAGAUGUGCCCAGAUGGGAUUAGCUAGUAGGUGGGGUAAUGGCUCACCUAGGCGACGAUCCCUAGCUGGUCUGAGAGGAUGACCAGCCACACUGGAACUGAGACACGGUCCAGACUCCUACGGGAGGCAGCAGUGGGGAAUAUUGCACAAUGGGCGCAAGCCUGAUGCAGCCAUGCCGCGUGUGUGAAGAAGGCCUUCGGGUUGUAAAGCACUUUCAGCGAGGAGGAAGGCGUUAAGGUUAAUAACCUUAGCGAUUGACGUUACUCGCAGAAGAAGCACCGGCUAACUCCGUGCCAGCAGCCGCGGUAAUACGGAGGUGCAAGCGUUAAUCGGAAUUACUGGGCGUAAAGCGCACGCAGGCGGUCUGUCAAGUCGGAUGUGAAAUCCCCGGGCUCAACCUGGGAACUGCAUUCGAAACUGGCAGGCUAGAGUCUUGUAGAGGGGGGUAGAAUUCCAGGUGUAGCGGUGAAAUGCGUAGAGAUCUGGAGGAAUACCGGUGGCGAAGGCGGCCCCCUGGACAAAGACUGACGCUCAGGUGCGAAAGCGUGGGGAGCAAACAGGAUUAGAUACCCUGGUAGUCCACGCCGUAAACGAUGUCGACUUGGAGGUUGUUCCCUUGAGGAGUGGCCUCCGGAGCUAACGCGUUAAGUCGACCGCCUGGGGAGUACGGCCGCAAGGUUAAAACUCAAAUGAAUUGACGGGGGCCCGCACAAGCGGUGGAGCAUGUGGUUUAAUUCGAUGCAACGCGAAGAACCUUACCUGGUCUUGACAUCCACAGAACUUAGCAGAGAUGCUUUGGUGCCUUCGGGAACUGUGAGACAGGUGCUGCAUGGCUGUCGUCAGCUCGUGUUGUGAAAUGUUGGGUUAAGUCCCGCAACGAGCGCAACCCUUAUCCUUUGUUGCCAGCGGUUAGGCCGGGAACUCAAAGGAGACUGCCAGUGAUAAACUGGAGGAAGGUGGGGAUGACGUCAAGUCAUCAUGGCCCUUACGACCAGGGCUACACACGUGCUACAAUGGCGCAUACAAAGAGAAGCGAACUCGCGAGAGCAAGCGGACCUCAUAAAGUGCGUCGUAGUCCGGAUUGGAGUCUGCAACUCGACUCCAUGAAGUCGGAAUCGCUAGUAAUCGUAGAUCAGAAUGCUACGGUGAAUACGUUCCCGGGCCUUGUACACACCGCCCGUCACACCAUGGGAGUGGGUUGCAAAAGAAGUAGGUAGCUUAACCUUCGGGAGGGCGCUUACCACUUUGUGAUUCAUGACUGGGGUGAAGUCGUAACAAGGUAACCGUA